rnacentral:rRNA from 1 species
CGAGCGUUGUCCGGAAUUAUUGGGCGUAAAGAGCUCGUAGGCGGCCUGUUGCGUCCGCUGUGAAAGCCCGGGGCUUAACCCCGGGUCGGCAGUGGAUACGGGCAGGCUAGAGGUAGGUAGGGGAGAAUGGAAUUCCCGGUGUAGCGGUGAAAUGCGCAGAUAUCGGGAGGAACACCGGUGGCGAAGGCGGUUCUCUGGACCGUAACUGACGCUGAGGCGCGAAAGCGUGGGGAGCAAACAGG